UAGGGAAUCUUCGGCAAUGGGGGGAACCCUGACCGAGCAACGCCGCGUGAGUGAAGAAGGUUUUCGUAUCGUAAAGCUCUGUUGUUAAGGAAGAACGAGUGUGAGAAUGGAAAGUUCAUACUGUGACGGUACUUAACCAGAAAGGGACGGCUAACUACGUGCCAGCAGCCGCGGUAAUACGUAGGUCCCGAGCGUUGUCCGGAUUUAUUGGGCGUAAAGCGAGCGCAGGCGGUUAGAUAAGUCUGAAGUUAAAGGCAGUGGCUCAACCAUUGUAGGCUUUGGAAACUGUUUAACUUGAGUGCAGAAGGGGAGAGUGGAAUUCCAUGUGUAGCGGUGAAAUGCGUAGAUAUAUGGAGGAACACCGGUGGCGAAAGCGGCUCUCUGGUCUGUAACUGACGCUGAGGCUCGAAAGCGUGGGGAGCGAACAGG
rnacentral:rRNA from 1 species